rnacentral:rRNA from 1 species
AUUGAACGCUGGCGGCAGGCCUAACACAUGCAAGUCGAGCGGAGCGGCGGACGGGUGAUUAAUGCCUAGGAAUCUGCCUGGUAGUGGGGGAUAACGUCCGGAAAUGGGCGCUAAUACCGCAUAAUAACAGUUGAGCCUCGGGCGGAUUAGCUAGGAGGUGGGGUAAAUGCCUACCAAGGCGACGAUCCGUAACUGGUCUGAGAGGCUGAUCAGGCACACUGGAACUGAGACACGGUCCAGACUCCUACGGUAGGCAGCAGUGGGGAAUAUUGGACAAUGGGCGAAAGCCUGAUCCAGCCAUGCGGCGGGUGUGAAGAAGGUCUUCGGAUUGUAAAGCACUUGAAGUUGGGAGGCGUUACCAACAGAAUAAGCACCGGCUAACUUCGUGCCAGCAGCCGCGGUAAUUC